AUUGAACGCUGGCGGCAGGCCUAACACAUGCAAGUCGAACGAGUGGCGGACGGGUGAGUAAUGUCUGGGAAACUGCCCGAUGGAGGGGGAUAACUACUGGAAAAGGUAGCUAAUCCCGCAUAACAUCGGAUGUGGCCAGAUGGGAUUAGCUAGUAGGUGUGGUAAAGGCUAACCUAGGCGGCGAUCCCUAGCUGGUCUGAGAGGAUGACCCGCCACACUGGAACUGAGACACGGUCCAGACUCCUACGCGAGGCAGCAGGGGGGAAUAUUGCACAAUGGGCGCAAGCCUGAUGCAGCCAUGCCGCGUGUAUGAAGAAGGCCUUCGGGUUGUAAAGUACUUUCAGCGGGGAGGCGUUACCCGCAGAAGAAGCACCGGCUAACUCCGUGCCAGCAGCCGCGGUAAUUC
rnacentral:rRNA from 1 species